ensembl:lncRNA
ACCAUCACUAGUCGGCACGUCUGGUAGCAUCUCUGGCUGCUGUUGACCUUGUUUUCGGAGUAAAACACGGUGGAAGCUGAAUUAGUGAGGAUGACUCCUGCUCCUGUCAUCUCUAAGCUCCUCACACAUCUUUACCUGCACAUGAGGAAAAUCACUCCUGUAGAAUGCAGAUGUUCAGAGGGAGAUGAUGCCACAUCUGGUCCAGCCGAUGGAAGGUCUUGAAGUUCUCUGACUGGCCUCGACUGAAGAUGGUCGUCUCACUGGAUUUAAGGUUCAGAUGCUCAGUAACAAACUCCACCAAUGUGCCAACAGGGAAGCUUUAGGUUUAUUAAAUGUUGCUUUGAAGGUUUCACUGUUUUUCUUUGUGAAUGCAAUGCGCUCCAACUGAAACUUGAAUUAGAACUUAGAAGUAAAUCCUUCCAUCUGAAAGGAUUUAGUUGCAUUAAUAACCUCAUAACAUUCUAAUUUUUAUUCCAGUCUUGGCUGGAAAUAGAAUCUCUGUAUUGAUUCAGGUAAAAACUGAACUUCACAGCAUGUUGGAGCAAAACAACCAGAUGAAAACUGUGAUGGUGUUGGAUUGUCAGACCGUAAUGUUGCAGCUCAAAGCAGCUUUUCUAGCUCAGUUCAUUCUGACAUUCAGCUAUGAAUCAACACAGCAGAUGGUGAUCCAUACUGUGGAAGUCUCACAUCUCCUGAUUUAAUGGAGCUGCUUUGCACUUUUUACACUGUUUAUUCACCAACACUUUAUUUAAUAAAAGUCCCAUCUAGUUUUUAUGAGGAAUGUGAUGUUUUAAUUUCUCUGUGAAUAACUGCAGUCUAAUGCAACAGCUGGAAUUGUAACAUCU